rnacentral:rRNA from 1 species
UGAAUACGAAAUGCUACGGCAUUGAAGUGAUCUAUGCCAGGCUUCCAAGAAAAUCUCGUCAUAUCUUAAGCAGUAGAUGCCUGUACCUUAAACCGACACAGGUAGGUAGGUAGAGUAUACCAAGGGGCGCGAGAUAACUCUCUCUAAGGAACUCGGCAAAAUAACCUCGUAACUUCGGAAGAAGAGGUACCCUUGAAAAAGGGUUGCAAUAACCAGACCCUGGCGACUGUUUACCAAAAACACAGGUCUCCGCUAAUUCGUAAGAUCAAGUAUGGGGCUGACGCCUGCCCAGUGCCGGAAGGUUAAAGAAGUUGGUCAAUCUUUGGAUGAAGCUGGCGACUGAGGCCCCGGUGAACGGCGGCCGUAACUAUAACGGUCCUAAGGUAUCGAAGUUCCUUGUCGGGUAAGUUCCGACCCGCACGAAAGGCGUAACGAUCAGGGUGCUGUCUCGGAGAGAGACUCGGCGAAAUAGACAUGUCUGUGAAGAUGCGGACUACCUGCACCUGGACAGAAAGACCCUAUGAAGCUUUACUGUAUCUUGGAAUUGGGUUUGGGCCUUGCUUGCGCAGGAUAGGUGGGAGGCUGUGAAGAUAUUCUUGCGGGAAUGUUGGAGCCAACGGUGAGAUACCACUCUAGUAAGGCUAAAAUUCUAACUCUGAACCGUUAUCCGGUCAGAGAACAGUUUCAGGUGGGCAGUUUGACUGGGGCGGUCGCCUCCUAAAAGGUAACGGAGGCGCGCAGGGUUCCCUCAGGCUGGUUGGACAUCAGUCGUAGAGUGUAAAGGCAUAAGGGAGCUUGACUGCGAGACCCACAAGUCGAGCAGAGACGAAAGUCGGCCUUAGUGAUCCGACGGUUCCACGUGGAAGGGCCGUCGCUCAACGGAUAAAAGUUACUCUAGGAUAACAGGCUGAUCUCCCCCAAGAGUUCACAUCGACGGGGAGGUUUGGCACCUCGAUGUCGGCUCAUCGCAUCCUGGGGCGGUAGUACGUCCCAAGGGUUGGGCUGUUCGCCCAUGAAAGCGGUACGCGAGCUGGGUUCAGAACGUCGUGAGACAGUUCGGUCCAUAUCCGGUGCAGGCGUUAGAGCAUUGAGAGGAGUCCCCCUUAGUACGAGAGGACCGGGGGGAAUACACCGCUGGUGUACCAGUUAUCGUGCCAACGGUAAACGCUGGGUAGCCAUGUGUAGCGCGGAUAACUGCUGAAAGCAUCUAAGUAGGAAGCCCACCUUAAGAUGAGUGCUCUCACCGCUAUAAGCGGGUAAGGUCACGGUAAGAACAACCGUUAUAUAGGCAUUAAGUAUACGUGCAGUAAUGCAUUUAGCUGAGAUGUACUAACAGACCGAGGGCUUGAU